UGAGGGAAUAUUGGGUCAAUGGACGAAAGUCUGAACCAGCCAUGCCGCGUGAAGGAAUAAGGCCCUAUGGGUCGUAAACUUCUUUUGUAUGUGAGCAAUAAGGUCCACGAGUGGUCCGAUGAGAGUAGCAUACGAAUAAGCAUCGGCUAACUCCGUGCCAGCAGCCGCGGUAAUACGGAGGAUGCAAGCGUUAUCCGGAUUCAUUGGGUUUAAAGGGAGCGCAGGCGGUCUUAUAAGCGUGACGUGAAAUGCAGCGGCUCAACCGUAUGAUGUGCGUCGCGAACUGUGAGACUUGAGUGUAUUCGAUGUCAGCGGAAUUUGUGGUGUAGCGGUGAAAUGCUUAGAUAUCACGAAGAACUCCGAUUGCGAAGGCAGCUGACAAGGCUACAACUGACGCUAAAGCUCGAAAGUGC
rnacentral:rRNA from 1 species